GUCUACGGCCAUACCACCCUGAACGCGCCCGAUCUCGUCUGAUCUCGGAAACUAAGCAGGGUCGGGCCUGGUUAGUACUUGGAUGGGAGAGAGUGAAGGAAACACUAAAUU
rnacentral:rRNA from 1 species